GUGCUCGUUUUGACAGCACAUGUGCUAAAGUUGGAAUGAUACAGAGAUUAGUAUAACCUUUGCCUAAGGAUGACAUUCAAAUUCAUGAAGCAUAUAUAUUUGUA
rnacentral:snRNA from 1 species